rnacentral:rRNA from 1 species
UACGUAGGGUGCGAGCGUUAAUCGGAAUUACUGGGCGUAAAGUGUGCGCAGGUGGCUUCGCAAGUCGAGUGUGAAAGCCCCGGGCUUAACCUGGGAAUUGCGCUCGAAACUACGGAGCUCGAGUGUGGCAGAGGAAGGUGGAAUUCCACGUGUAGCGGUGAAAUGCGUAGAGAUGUGGAGGAACACCAAUGGCGAAGGCAGCCUUCUGGGCCAACACUGACACUCAUGCACGAAAGCGUGGGGAGCAAACAGG